UACGUAGGGGGCUAGCGUUGUCCGGAAUCAUUGGGCGUAAAGCGCGCGUAGGCGGCCCCGGUAAGUCCGCUCUGAAAGUCCAGGGCUCAACCCUGGAAUGCGGGUGGAUACUGCCGGGCUAGAAUCCGGAAGAGGCGAGUGGAAUUCCUGGUGUAGCGGUGGAAUGCGCAGAUAUCAGGAGGAACACCAAUAGCGAAGGCAGCUCGCUGGGACGGUAUUGACGCUAAGGCGCGAAAGCGUGGGGAGCGAACAGG
rnacentral:rRNA from 1 species